GACGAACGCUGGCGGCGUGGAUUAGGCAUGCAAGUCGAACGGUAUCAUCCUUUCGGGGGUGAGAGAGUGGCGAACUGGUGAGUAACACGUAGGUUAUCUACCCUCAAGACGGGGACAACCCAGGGAAACUUGGGCUAAUACCGGAUGUGAGCAACUUUUAGUUGUUUGAAAGGUGGCGUAAGCUGUCGCUUGGGGAUGAGCCUGCGUCCUAUUAGUUAGUUGGUGAGGUAACGGCUCACCUAGGCAAUGAUAGGUAGGCGGCCUUAACGGGUGGUCGCCCACACUGGGAUUGAGAUACGGCCCAGACUCCUACGGGAGGCAGCAGUCGAGAAUAGUCUACAAUGGUCGGAAGACUGAUAGUGCGACGCCGCGUGAACGAUGAAUCCCUUCGGGGUGUAAAGUUCUUUUAUAUGUGAGCAGUGCUUCUUAUAUUAACAGUAUGGGGAGAGAGAUAUUAGCAUACGAAUAAGCAACGGCUAACUCCGUGCCAGCAGCCGCGGUAAGCUCG
rnacentral:rRNA from 1 species